AAAAAUCCCUACGCAUAUUCCUCCGCCACCCCACUCUUCUUCUCUCCCUCUCCAGCCACAUGUCUCUUCUCUCCAGCCACCGCGCCCACAGGAUGUGCUCUCCGUCGCCGCACUGUUCCCCUCCAGAUACAACCUCCGUUUCACCCAUCGCCUCCUCGACUGUGAGGACCACCCAGUCGCUUCACGGCCUCGCGGCGGCGGGAUCCGCCCCACCCCUCUCUUCCUAGCCCAUCGAUUCCGCCCCCUGCCGCCGGAUUCCCCGGUCUCCUUGCUGCCGGAUGCGGCCUUUCCCGGCGUCCCUGCCGCCGGAUCCGGCUGCACCCGACCCUGCUUGCUCUCCCGAGUAUCGGCUCCGAGGGCGAGGCCCACCAGACCACCGCCGUCUCCUCUAGGAAGGACCGGAAGGAUAACUGGUUGCCAGAUCUUGUGCCUCGACAACUUCUUCUUCGGCCAGUUUGGCGCCGGGAGCAACUGGGCCAAGGGACCCUACACCAAGGGCGCCGAGCUCAUUGACUGUGUCCUCGACGUCGUCCGCAUGGAGGCCAAGAACUGCGACUGCCUCGAUGCUCACUGGAAAUAAAUUGGUACAUGAGGGUGGGGAGUAAAACUAAACAAGUUAGCAUGGGGAUUGGUUGCAUUCGUGUGGUGUGAAAAAAUGAUGGCUGCAAGCCUGCGCUGAUGGCUUCUAUUAAAUCUGGACCUGAACGCGACAUGAUGCUUACCUGUGUUCUGGAGUGGGUCAACCCAGGCUACGACACUAUGGUCACAACAUUGAAUUAACUGCAGUGUGCUUUCUCCCGAGAACAAAUGGAUUUACCUCAACCUAGUACAUAAUGGGCAGCUGAUUCUUUUCCUCAUUAUACUAUGUGUGUUACAUUGUAAGGUUAAAAGUUCAGUCAUGAUUGCUGAGUUGAUGACCAUGGUCUAUGUUCAGUAAUGCUGGAAGUAGUCCUAAUAGUUAAGUACUGUCGUUCGUGUUGUUUGCAUGUCAUCUAAUGCAUUUAACUACUUUCUGAAAUUGCAAGAUGAGCAUACAUAUAAUUAGAUGGGUAGUAGUUUGUUGUCUGGCUUGUCAUAUCUACUGGCUAGUGUGUUGCAUGCCUGUGUAAGACAAUACUGUCAUAAUUACUACUGGUUUUGGUGGAUUGUUAAGCUAUAGGAGUUGAUGCAUUAGGUUGGAAUGCAUUGUAUGUGGCUACUGAAUUCAUCUCCUAUGUAAUGGAUUAGGUUUUUUCUUGUAUUCUCGGUUGUAUUCAAUGGAGAUAUGUUAUACAUCAUCUUUCCCUCUAGUAGUAGUAGUACUACUACUACUGGUUUAUGUAUACUACCUGUUACAGUUUUCAUUACUAAGAUCUUCAUUACUAAGAUCAAGCCGGUAGCCCAGGUCCUGAAGUACUUAUUUUGAUUACAUCAUGAGGUUCUCUAAAAAUUUCAAAUGCAUGAUGGCGUUACAGACCCAAAGAUUUCUUAUGGUACUUCUUGAACAGUUUCUUUCCGGCUAGCUCUUGGGACCGCAGGGCUGACUUUUGCACAAAUGAGCACCUGCAAUGCCCAGCGUCAACAAUGAUGCGGACCAGAUCUUCAACUGCAGCCCCAUCCAUCGCAUCUUCACGUAGUCAGGUUGUUAACCGCAUCAUCAAGAAGAGGAUUCGUGUCAGUGUGGAGCAUUGCAGCCAUCCAUGGCUAGGAGUUCCAGCUGACUCGACCCAGUUGCUGCUAUCUCCUUCAUCCAUGAGGAGUUCUAUGGCAAAAAAAAUCAAAGAAUUUCGUUACUUCUAGAGGUGUUGGCCUAGUUUUGGGAACUAGUACUAUGUUGGACUAGUUGUGGGAGCUAGUGAUCGACCUGUGAGAUGUAUAUUCUGGGGAAUUGUGAAUCUGUUAUUUGAUAUGUGCUGAGAAAAUUUACUGUUAUUUGAUA